rnacentral:tRNA from 1 species
UCCCUGGUGGUCUAAUGGUUAAGGAUUUGGCACUUUCACUGUUGUGGCCCAAGUUCAAUCCUUUGUUGGGGAA